GGAAAACUUACCAGGUCCAGAGAUGUAGAGGAUUGACAGAUUGAAGCUCUUUCUUGAUCACUUCAGUGGUGGUGCAUGGCCGUUCUUAGUUGGUGGAGUGAUUUGUCUGGUUAAUUCCGUUAACGAACGAGACCUCAGCCUGCUUUUGUAGUUGCUGUAAUGUCCGCAUUAUAAUUGUGACUUCUUAGAGGGACUAUCGGUGUUGCAGCCGAUGGAAGUUUGAGGCAAUAA
rnacentral:rRNA from 1 species